rfam:Oryza barthii chromosome 3, whole genome shotgun sequence.
AAAAAGGCAAACCGUGGGUUCUCGUGCCAACGUUUCAUUGUCCGUCUUAUAUGAAAUUUUUUUUUAUAAUUACUAUUUUCGUUGUUGUUAGAUGAUAAAACAUGAUUAAUACUUUAUACAUGACUUAUCUUUUUAAUUUUUUUCAUAAUUUUUUUAAAUAAGACGGACGGUCAAACGUUGGACACGGAAACCAGGGUUUGUCUUUUU